rnacentral:rRNA from 1 species
CCUGCCCACUGAUUUAUUAAAUGGCCGCAGUAAUUUGACUGUGCAAAGGUAGCAUAAUCAUUAGUUUUUUAAUUAAAAGCUUGUAUGAAGGGUUGGACGAAGUAAAUUCUGUCUCUAUUUAAUUUAUAAUAGAAUUUAAUUUUUAAGUUAAAAAGCUUAAAUUUUUAUAAAAGACGAGAAGACCCCAUAGAUCUUUAUAUUUUUAUAAAUAAUUUUAAUUAGGAAUAUUUUAUUUUUUAUUUAUAAUAAUAUUUUAUUGGGGUAAUAAAGAGAUUAGGUUAAUUCUUUUUGAUAUAAAAUAUUAAUUAAUAAAUAUUUGAUCCAAUAAUUUUGAUUAUAAGAUUAAGUUACCUUGGGGAUAACAGCGUAAUUUUUUUAGAGAGUUCAUAUCGAUAAAAAAGUUUGCGACCUCGAUGUUGGAUUAAAAAUUAUUCUAGGUGUAGAAGUUUAGAAAUUUGGUCUGUUCGACCAUUAAAUUUUUACAUGAUCUGAGUUCAGACCGGUGUAAGCCAGGUCGGUUUCUAUCUUUAUUUGAUUAAUAUAUUUUAGUACGAAAGGACCAAAUAUUUAAUAUAUUUAUAUUUUAAAUUUUGAAUAUUAUU